rnacentral:rRNA from 1 species
CUGUUCACAGAAAGAAUUGCAUCUGAAACUGCAAGUCUUGAGUGUAGGAGGGGAGAAUGGAACUUCUGGUGGAGCGGUGAAAUGCGUAGAUAUCAGAAGGAACGCCGGCGGCGAAAGCGAUUCUCUGGCCUAUUACUGACACUCAGUGUGCGAAAGCUAGGGGAGCAAACGGGAUUAGAUACCCCGGUAGUCCUAGCCGUAAACGAUGGGCACUAAGUAGAGGGAAUUACCGAUGUUCUCUCUGCCGUAGCUAACGCAUUAAGUGCCCCGCCUGGGGAGUACGGCCGCAAGGCUAAAACUCAAAAGAAUUGACGGGGGCUCGCACAAGCGGUGGAGCAUGUGGCUUAAUUCGAUGCAACGCGAAAAACCUUACCGGGGCUUGACAUGGUAGAAGUAGGAACCCGAAAGGGUAACGAACGGUAUCCAGUCCAUAGCUAUUACAGGUGUUGCAUGGCUGUCGUCAGCUCGUGUCGUGAGACGUUGGGUUAAGUCCCCUAACGAGCGAAACCCUUGUUUUUAGUUACCAGCGGGUUAUGCCGGGUACUCUAGAAAGACUGCCGUCGUCAAGACGGAGGAAGGUGGGGAUGACGUCAAGUCAUCAUGGCCCUUAUGCCCCGGGCUGCACACGUGCUACAAUGGUCGGUACAAACGGAAGCGAAGCCGAGAGGUGAAGCGAAUCCAAGC